GAUGAAGAACGUAGCGAAAUGCGAUAAGUAAUGUGACUUGCAGAAUUCAGUGAAUCAUCGAAUCUUUGAACGCACAUUGCGCCCCUUGGUAUUCCGAGGGGCAUGCCUGUUCGAGCGUCAUUAUAACCCCUCAAGCUCGGCUUGGUGUUGGGGCCUGCCGCACGGGCAGCCCUUAAAAUCAGUGGCGGUGCCAUCUGGCUCUAAGCGUAGUAAUUCUUCUCGCUAUAGAGUCCCGGUGGAUGCUUGCCAUUAACCCCCAAUUUCAAUGGUUGACCUCGGAUCAGGUAGGGAUACCCGCUGAACUUAAGCAUAUCAAUAAGCGGAGGA
rnacentral:misc_RNA from 1 species